GAUGAACGCUGGCGGCGUGCCUAAUACAUGCAAGUCGAGCGAACAGACGAGGAGCUUGCUCCUCUGACGUUAGCGGCGGACGGGUGAGUAACACGUGGAUAACCUGCCUAUAAGACUGGGAUAACUUCGGGAAACCGGAGCUAAUACCGGAUAAUAUAUUGAACCGCAUGGUUCAAUAGUGAAAGACGGUUUUGCUGUCACUUAUAGAUGGAUCCGCGCCGCAUUAGCUAGUUGGUAAGGUAACGGCUUACCAAGGCAACGAUGCGUAGCCGACCUGAGAGGGUGAUCGGCCACACUGGAACUGAGACACGGUCCAGACUCCUACGGGAGGCAGCAGUAGGGAAUCUUCCGCAAUGGGCGAAAGCCUGACGGAGCAACGCCGCGUGAGUGAUGAAGGUCUUCGGAUCGUAAAACUCUGUUAUUAGGGAAGAACAAAUGUGUAAGUAACUAUGCACGUCUUGACGGUACCUAAUCAGAAAGCCACGGCUAACUACGUG
rnacentral:rRNA from 1 species